rnacentral:rRNA from 1 species
UACGAAGGGUGCAAGCGUUACUCGGAAUUACUGGGCGUAAAGCGUGCGUAGGUGGUUUGUUAAGUCUGUUGUGAAAGCCCCGGGCUCAACCUGGGAAUGGCAAUGGAUACUGGCAAGCUAGAGUGCGGUAGAGGGUAGUGGAAUUCCCGGAGUAGAGGUAAAAUUCGUAGAUACCGGGAGGAAUACCUGAGGCGAAGGCGGCCAAUCUGGUCUGCAACUGACGCUGAAGCACGAAAGCACGGGGAGCAAACAGG